rnacentral:lncRNA from 1 species
AGCAUAUAUAUAAUCUCUAAUUUCAUUUAAUCCACAUGGCAAUACCAAAAUCAAUUUUCAUAUGUCUCAAUCACAUUUAUUUCAGGGAACAUGUCCUUGUACAUCAUCAGCUAGAUCCGUCUUCUGUUUGUUGGAGGGGUGUACUUUGCUUAUUAGCGUAUAUGCAUAUUGUGCACUCACAACCAAAAGGAACACACUUCGCACUGGCGUUGCACGCGCAAUUUGGAGGGCAGUGAAACUUCAAGAGCUCUUGACCCACUUGAUCCUGGCAUUCACUUAAAUCACAAUCAUGACCACCGGGUUGUGGGAUGACUUUUCUCUUGCAAUCUUUAUAUGCUGUCGCACCUACAAGAUAUCGGCAUGAAAAGAACACGAGUCACACAUCAUGACCAUAAUUUGAUAAAUGAGUUUAUGAGAUGUGCAUUAUAGAGAAGAAAAUGGGCACCAUAUGUUAGCAGAAGGAAGGCGAGGACCAGGAGUUGUGUCACAAUACUUCUCUUCAUUUUCGCCGUAUAUGGCGUUGAUAUCUACUGUUGUUGGUUGCUAUGAAACUUUGG